rnacentral:rRNA from 1 species
AGUGAACGCUGGCGGUAGGCCUAACACAUGCAAGUCGAACGGCAGCACAGUAAGAGCUUGCUCUUACGGGUGGCGAGUGGCGGACGGGUGAGGAAUACAUCGGAAUCUACUUUUUCGUGGGGGAUAACGUAGCGAAACUUACGCUAAUAACGCAUACGACCUACGGGUGAAAGCAGGGGAUCUUCGGACCUUGCGCGAUUGAAUGAGCCGAUGUCGGAUUAGCUAGUUGGCGGGGUAAAGGCCCACCAAGGCGACGAUCCGUAGCUGGUCUGAGAGGAUGAUCAGCCACACUGUAACUGAGACACGGUCCAGACUCCUACGGGAGGCAGCAGUGGGGAAUAUUGGACAAUGGGCGCAAGCCUGAUCCAGCCAUACCGCGUGGGUGAAGAAGGCCUUCGGGUUGUAAAGCCCUUUUGUUGGGAAAGAAAAGCAGCAGGUUAAUACCCCGCUGUUCUGACGGUACCCAAAGAAUAAGCACCGGCUAACUUCGUG